CGUAGAUUGCACUUAUUGUUCUACAGCGCGAUACCCAGUUGGUUUUCCUUUUUGUUUGUUAUUCUUUUCUGUGAUUUUCGUGUAGGUGCAAGUAUUUUAUCAUCAGUCGCCAUUUCACGUUAAACAUGCAUGUUUUUACAGUAAGAGACGCAACAUGCAUGACGGGGAUGAUAAAAUAAUCAAUAAGAAGUUUGAAUCUUUAAAAAUAAAUUAAUGCUGAACCCCAAAGAAGCCAACCGAAGAUGAGAUGUUUUCUGUACCAAUCCACAAAUCAACAUUUGCUGAAGUCAUGAACCACACUUUGUCAACAAUAAAUGUUGUUUCUGCAAUCUGGAUAAAGAAUAAUAAAUUACUGCCUCUUGGAGAACAGCCGACUGUACUCCAGACAGAGACAAAGACGUGAGGACAUCUAUUGCUUUUGUAAAGGAAUUUUAUACCCAAGAGUUAUAAAUGUUGUCUUUAUUGUUUGUCUUAAUAUUUUAUUUGACAUUUUAACAAUAUAAAGUUUACUUGUACUUGUUUUUUGUUUGUAGAAGUCAUGUACCACACUUUGUCAACAAAACAUGUUGUUCCUGCAAUCUGGAUGAAGAAUAAUUUGAGUUUAAUACUUCAUUUAAAAUGUAAUAGUUUAAAUAUUAAACAAAUGUGUAUCUGAUCAGAUGUUUGACUUCUCUAUUUAAUAGAUAUUACUGCCUCUUGGGAAAAAGCAGACUGUACUCCAGACAGAGACAAAGACAUGAGGACAUCCAUUGCUUUUAAGUCCUAUACCAGACUAUGUUGUUCCAGCUGUCUGGGUAAAGACUGAUACAUUACUGCCUCUUGGAGAACAGCAAACCAUUCUCCAGACAGAGACAAAGACAUGGACAUCAAAACAGAAAAUUAAGUACUUUAUCAUGGAUUGUUUGGAGUGAACGCUGACAAAUAAUGAAGCAAGAAAUGAAAAUGCUUGACCAAAACAAUUUUUGUACUUGGCUGUAAGAAGUCCUUUGUGUGUACAGACAUGACUGGAGAUUAAAGUUACUAAAUGUUGCUUUUUUCUAGCUGGUGACAUAACAUGAUAUUAUUUUCAAAUGUAUUUAUCUAAUACACAUUUGCACAUCUGUAAACAUUCAUUUUAUAUUGCAUGUUUUUAUAUUUAACCAGUUGUUGUAUAUUGCUAUCUGUUAUUACAUCUGUUUUUUAUUGUCCGUUUAUUGUUUAAAACAAUUAAGUUAAUGUUUCUCUGUUAGCUUUUAUGUUACUUUGGCUAUUUCUUUGCUUUUAUUUGAUCCUUCUACUGUUAUUUGUUUAUUUGGCAGAACAUUUGACAUUUCAUUUAUUUGCUGUUAUCUGAAAUUUUUCUUGUCAGCAUCAAUAAAACUCUAUAUUUGCUUUA